rnacentral:rRNA from 1 species
UACGAAGGGUGCAAACGUUGUUCGGAAUUACUGGGCGUAAAGGGCUCGUAGGCGGCCAACUAAGUCGGACGUGAAAUCCCUCAGCUUAACUGGGGAACUGCGUCCGAUACUGGAUGGCUUGGAUUUGGGAGAGGGAUGCGGAAUUCCAGGUGUAGCGGUGAAAUGCGUAGAUAUCGGAAGGAACAUCAGUGGCGAAAGCGGCUUCCUGGACCAGCACCGACGUUCAGGCACGAAAAGCGUGGGGGAGCAAACAGGG